CCUACGGGCGGCUGCAGUAGGGAAUAUUGCUCAAUGGGGGAAACCCUGAAGCAGCAACGCCGCGUGGAGGAUGAAGGUUUUCGGAUUGUAAACUCCUUUUGUUAGAGAAGAUAAUGACGGUAUCUAACGAAUAAGCACCGGCUAACUCCGUGCCAGCAGCCGCGGUAAUACGGAGGGUGCAAGCGUUACUCGGAAUCACUGGGGGGAAAGAGCGCGGAGGCGGGAUAGCAAGUCAGAUGUGAAAUCCUAUGGCUUAACCAUAGAACUGCAUUUGAAACUGUUAUUCUAGAGUAUGGGAGAGGUAGGUGGAAUUCUUGGUGUAGGGGUAAAAUCCGUAGAGAUCAAGAGGAAUACUCAUUGCGAAGGCGACCUGCUAGAACAUAACUGACGCUGAUGCGCGAAAGCGUGGGGAGCAAACAGGAUUAGAUACCCCAGUAGUC
rnacentral:rRNA from 1 species